GUUUCUCACCACUCCCCGGAUGCAAGGGAAGCUGGUCGCUCCGAGUAGGGGCGCUCUGGCACUCCGGCACUUUGGCAUUAGGGCUUUCUGUUCUUCCCGAGUGCCUGACUGCCGGAGCGCCCGACUGCCCUCGUUCCAAAGGAGGAAGCCAGCACGGUCCCGCCACUGUAAGUGGGGAGCGAGCCCGCAGAAGGCCACUGUUCCGCCGCAGGCGGAAUGGGAAGGCGCGGGGGAGCGACGAUCCACGAGUCAGGAGACCUAUCCGGGGAGCAACCCUCAC
rnacentral:ncRNA from 2 species